UUUCCCUCCAGAGUGGAUCCUGAGUACGGCGGAACACGUGAAAUUCCGUCGGAAUCCGGGAGGACCAUCUCCCAAGGCUAAAUACUCCCUAGUGACCGAUAGUGAACCAGUACCGUGAGGGAAAGGUGAAAAGCACCCCGGAAGGGGAGUGAAACAGUUCCUGAAACCGUGUGCCUACAAGUAGUUAGAGCCCGUUAAUGGGUGAUAGCGUGCCUUUUGUAGAAUGAACCGGCGAGUUACGAUUUGUUGCAAGGUUAAGCGGAAAAAGCGGAGCCGUAGCGAAAGCGAGUCUGAAUAGGGCGAAUAAGUAACAGGUCGUAGACCCGAAACCAGGUGAUCUACCCAUGUCCAGGAUGAAGGUAAGGUAAUACUUACUGGAGGUCCGAACCCACGCACGUUGAAAAGUGCGGGGAUGAGGUGUGGGUAGCGGAGAAAUUCCAAUCGAACUUGGAGAUAGCUGGUUCUCUCCGAAAUAGCUUUAGGGCUAGCCUCGAGGUAAAGAGUCAUGGAGGUAGAGCACUGUUUGGACUAGGGGCCCUUCUCGGGUUACCGAAUUCAGAUAAACUCCGAAUGCCAUGUACUUAUACUCGGGAGUCAGACUGCGAGUGAUAAGAUCCGUAGUCGAAAGGGAAACAGCCCAGACCACCAGUUAAGGUCCCAAAAUAUAUGUUAAGUGGAAAAGGAUGUGGGGUUGCUUAGACAACCAGGAUGUUGGCUUAGAAGCAGCCACCAUUGAAAGAGUGCGUAAUAGCUCACUGGUCGAGUGACCCCGCGCCGAAAAUGUACCGGGGCUAAACAUAUUACCGAAACUGUGGAUGAACCUCAUUAGAGGUUCGUGGUAGGAGAGCGUUCUAAGGGCGGUGAAGUCAGACCGGAAGGACUGGUGGAGCGCUUAGAAGUGAGAAUGCCGGUAUGAGUAGCGAAAGAAGGGUGAGAAUCCCUUCCACCGAAUAUCUAAGGUUUCCUGAGGAAGGCUCGUCCGCUCAGGGUUAGUCGGGACCUAAGCCGAGGCCGAUAGGCGUAGGCGAUGGACAACAGGUAGAGAUUCCUGUACCAGUGCUAAUUGUUUAACCGAUGGGGUGACACAGAAGGAUAGGGAAUCGCACGAAUGGAAAUGUGCGUCCAAGCAGUGAGUGUGAGAAGUAGGCAAAUCCGCUUCUCGCGAAGCAUGAGCUGUGAUGGGGAAGGAAAUUAAGUACGGAAGUUCCUGAUUUCACGCUGUCAAGAAAAGCCUCUAGGAAGAGUAGUACUGCCCGUACCGCAAACCGACACAGGUAGAUGAGGAGAGAAUCCUAAGGUGAGCGAGAGAACUCUCGUUAAGGAACUCGGCAAAAUGACCCCGUAACUUCGGGAGAAGGGGUGCUCUAUUAGGGUGAAAGCCCGAGAGAGCCGCAGUGAAUAGGCCCAGGCGACUGUUUAGCAAAAACACAGGUCUCUGCAAAACCGUAAGGUG
rnacentral:rRNA from 1 species